rnacentral:rRNA from 1 species
AUUGAACGCUGGCGGCAGGCCUAACACAUGCCAGUCGAACGAGCGGCGGACGGGUGAGUAAUGUCUGGGAACCUGCCCGAUGGAGGGGGAUAACUACUGGAAACGGUAGCUAAUACCGCAUACCAUCGGAUGUCCCCAGAUGGGAUUAGCUAGUAGGUGGGGUAACGGCUCACCUAGGCGACGAUCCCUCGCUGGUCUGAGAGGAUGACCAGCCACACAGGGACUGAGAGACGGACCAGACUCCUACGAGAGGCAGCAGUGAGAAAUAUUGCACAAGGGGCGCAGGCCUGAUGCAGCCAUGCCGCGUGUAUGAAGAAGGCCUUCGGGUUGUAAAGUACUUUCAGCGGGGAGGCGGGACUCGCAGAAGAAGCACCGGCUAACUCCGUGCCAGCAGCCGCGGGAAUAC